ensembl:lncRNA
CAGGAAUCGGUUUAGAAGUGCUGUAUGCUUUCAUCCCUGGUCCCCAUUCAUGUACAGAAAAUGACGUGUGUGUGUGUUUUUAUUUUAAUUUUUUUUUUUUUUUAAAUAAAUGUCUUUUUUUCCUGCUUAUAUUGAGAUUGAUUAGUGACCUGCCUUUGCAGAAGAGAGUACUUUGAGUGAGUAUUGCAUGUCUUUAUUAACAAAAGAAGUAUUACCAUAUAUUACCAGGUUGCAUAUCUUUCUGUGACAAAAAAACCCUCCAACUCAUUAGACACUGGAAAUUAAGAAUUCAGAUUUCUGCAAAUUUCUGAGGUUCAUGUUUAUUGCACUAAAUCUUAGUUUCAUUUAUGAACCAUCACUUGGGCAAAUCAUUAGGACUUAAGCUGCGAUUGGAGCCCACCAACAAAAAUAUAUUUUUGAAAAACUUCAAAAAGAGCUUAAAAAUGAAGUGUCAUCAGAAUGUGACAGUCAAUUGUCUUAUGUAGCAAUGUACAUUAAUCUCAGUGAGAUAAAGUGUAAUUUAACUUCUCAUACGUGAGAAUGUGAAGAACUUUAAAGAAAGUAAAAAAAAAAGAAAGAAUAGGAUUUAAGCUGUUCAGGAAAACCAACACCAUGUUCAUUUUAUUUAGUGAUUAUAAUGUGCAUGUUUGUAGAAUUAUAUUGUACAGAAUAUUCAUAUACUUGCAAGGCCAGGUUCUGUCAGUCAGAAAGGUACAGCUACUCACAGUUGCAUUGUGUGAUGUUUACUAAUUCUGAUGAAUUAUCGUUGUUCAUUUUUAAUUGGUUCUGUUGAUGUUUGUUUAUCUUUUAUCUGUCAAAAUUGUAUGUGGAGAGAAGUUUUGAUUGUUUUUUUCUUUUUGUUUUGUAUUCCUUGCUUGUUUUAACCAACGACAUGAAAUUAAGCACUGACUUUUUUGGAUACACAUGAAGAAAAAUGUGUUCUCAUCUAAAUGAGCAGGAAUCAUUACUUCAGUGCUGUAACUCUCACUGACCUUUGUAGAAUCCCUCUAAACCCUUUUCCCUCUCUAGGACUUGUAGAAAAUCAUCCCAUUUGUGUCUGGUCUACAGCAGAACGUACAGUAGUUUGACAAUGUUGUU